CUCUCUAUUUCUCUUCUCUUAGUAUUAGGGUUAAACUCCUUCUUCACACACAGAGAUGAUGAUGACGAUUAUCGAAAUCCUUGAUAUUCUUUUAUUCUAAAUCAAGGUUGAAUGAUUUGUUGAUUUCAGAGAUCUCAAAUCCCAAAUCAAGCCGACCAAUUUAUUAGUUAGGGUUCUUCAUUUCAUCUUCGAUUGAUGGUUGUUCAGCUGCAGGAACACCCAACUUCUCUUGAUUCCACUUUAGAAUUGCUUCUGCAACCUCAUGAGAGACAACUUUUAAGGGAAGCCCCCAUCUAUGUACUGUGAGAAAUGCUUGAAAGAGACUGGUUUCUGAAACUCAAGGAACCAAGUUUUGUUAUUUCUUACUUUUAGGUUUGAUCUGUAAUCGUUGCGGUUGAUAGUUUAAAACCAAGGGUUGUAGACAAUUUACUAGUGCAUUUGGGACGGGGUUAGUGAGUCCCAGUUUAACCAUUUUCUAAACAUUGAGCUAGACAAAACCAUAAAGGCUUGGGAGUUUCUCGAUAAGGAUGCCCGCUACAAGCCUCCUGAGUUGAAAUUGAAGCCAAAGUUUAUUGUGAUUACUGCAUAGGAAAAUCAUCAAACCAAGUUCUUUUCAGAAUGAAUCUCCUAAUAAUGUUCCACCUGGUUAGGAUAAUAUAUGAUGACUCUUUUCUUGACCAUGGGAUCUUACACCCUUCUAUAUGAUGCAUGAUAAACUUUUUUUAAUUACUAUACUACUAAUACUACUAACAUAGCUUUAUUACGCUAGUGAUUGUUGAGGGAAUAGUGUUGAUGUUGUAUCUAGGUGAACUACUGAGUUCGAAGAAACUGAGAUUGUGUCUCCUUCUAAUUGCAACAUAAUACUUACAACAGUCUCCAGUACGAGCUUCUUGGACUCUUCUUCUACCACAAUUUUCUCAUCAUCUGCACCGACCAUCUUGAGCACCUCAUUCACUAUGUGAUAGCAUACAUCAAUUUUGCAUAAGACUGUCAGGAACAAAUGCAACUAGUAAUUGGUAUAAAGACUUGUCGAACCUUAUAUGUGGUUUUCCAAUACUGAGACGAGGUUUGUUAUUUACCUGAUUGAUGGCUCCAUAAGGAGGCAAACUAGCUGAUGGGGCCAGUGAAUCCGGAGCUACACGCAGAUACUCCUUGGACAGUUCCCCGCUGUGAUUUCUUGGGAACAACGAUGCUUACUCAUUAUCAUGUUCUGUGGGACGAAAUUAGGUUUUCAGCGGAUAAUUUGCAGGAGCUAGUGCACUCACUAUCUUAUAUACCAAAGAAGCACUACAGCGAUUUCUGUUGUUAAGGCUACUGAAAUGCCUUGCUCAAAUUUUGAUGAAUAUGGGUAUGAUUGGCUAUAGAAGGGGUUGGAAACAAUCGGCAGAGAACAACGCUGGUCCAAGACAAUCCUGCAGUCUACCUGCACUAUAAAAGUUCAGAGAGGAGCUUUUUAGAUCUUCUCCAACCUUCCAUUUACCACCGGCUCGAGAAUCACCACCAUCAGUACUUCAUUCACAUCAUCUACACCUCUCUAACUUAGGAGAAUUUCCUCUCACCUGUUUGUGAAAACAUUCAACAGCUCAUCUCUAAAACUCACCACCAGUUUCCUCCACAACUGAAUUCAUCCCGUUACCAGACCACCAGCACCUCCAUCAAUCUAUCACCAGUUCCUCACCCAUUAAACUGUUUUAAUUGUACUAUGGUUUUUCCUAAGCAACUUUUUUGGUGUCUGACUAUGUAUUUCCUGUAAAUUUUUUGUCAUUAGGCUUAUAGUAUGCGUAUGAAGGCUGGGUAACUUAAGUAUGGUAAAGAACAAGGCUACAUUGAAGGUAAACUUUG